ACGCUGGCGGCAGGCCUAACACAUGCAAGUCGAGCGGUAGAGAGAAGCUUGCUUUUCUUGAGAGCGGCGGACGGGUGAGUAAUGCCUAGGAAUCUGCCUGGUAGUGGGGGAUAACGUUCGGAAACGGACGCUAAUACCGCAUACGUCCUACGGGAGAAAGCAGGGGACCUUCGGGCCUUGCGCUAUCAGAUGAGCCUAGGUCGGAUUAGCUAGUUGGUGGGGUAAUGGCUCACCAAGGCGACGAUCCGUAACUGGUCUGAGAGGAUGAUCAGUCACACUGGAACUGAGACACGGUCCAGACUCCUACGGGAGGCAGCAGUGGGGAAUAUUGGACAAUGGGCGAAAGCCUGAUCCAGCCAUGCCGCGUGUGUGAAGAAGGUCUUCGGAUUGUAAAGCACUUUAAGUUGGGAGGAAGGGUUGUAGAUUAAUACUCUGCAAUUUUGACGUUACCGACAGAAUAAGCACCGGCUAACUCUGUGCCAGCAGCCGCGGUAAUACAGAGGGUGCAAGCGUUAAUCGGAAUUACUGGGCGUAAAGCGCGCGUAGGUGGUUAGUUAAGUUGGAUGUGAACUCCCCGGGCUCAACCUGGGAACUGCAUUCAAAACUGACUGACUAGAGUAUGGUAGAGGGUGGUGGAAUUUCCUGUGUAGCGGUGAAAUGCGUAGAUAUAGGAAGGAACACCAGUGGCGAAGGCGACCACCUGGACUGAUACUGACACUGAGGUGCGAAAGCGUGGGGAGCAAAC
rnacentral:rRNA from 1 species